CUGCCGACUGCCGAGUUGUUGAGAAGCCGUUGUUGAAACUUGCUGCUGUGGUGAGAGGAGGCGGCGGAGACAAGAUCUAUGAGCAUCGUUAACGUGACCUUAAAGCAGCCCAAGACAGGUGCGUCAACCAAAUUAAAAAGAUCAUCAAGGGAUAUUGUCAACAUUGAGAAAAAUUUGUUUCCUUGAAGAUAGUCUCGAAAUACACUAACGGAAGCUUCAUUGAAAAUGUGAGUACGUGAUGCAAAGGGUCGACUUGGGAGGUCAUCUGUAGCAUCAAGGAAACCUGAAGACAGCAUGGGAUCCAGGACGGGACCCGCCAAGGUAGAGAGCAGAAGAGGGAAGUCAUCUGUUGCAUCAAGACAACCUGAAAACGGCAACAUUGCGUAGCUCCUCAGGGGAGGACCACGUAUGUAGUAUUUGCCGAGGUCGAAAAUAAAAUUUAAUCCUAUCGGUCCACACAGCUGUUUCCCAGAGACUCUUCGCUGCACUUUAUAAAGAAGUAUAAACUUUUUAACACCUUU